CGCGUAGGCGGAUGGUUAAGUCCGGUGUGAAAGUUCGGGGCUUAACCCCGGAAUUGCAUUUGAAACUGUAAUACUUGAGUACUGGAGAGGUAAGUGGAAUUCCUAGUGUAGCGGUGAAAUGCGUAGAUAUUAGGAGGAACACCAGUGGCGAAGGCGACUUACUGGACAGAUACUGACGCUGAGGCGCGAAAGCGUGGGGAGCAAACAGGAUUAGAUACCCCCGUA
rnacentral:rRNA from 1 species